CAAGCACUAGUCUUGGAUGACCCCUUGAUAGGAACGUUGUAGACAAGAUUCAAAUAUCAAAUAGUAUUUGGACUAGUGAUUUCAAAGUCUAUUCCAGACCCCUGUGAAACUGUAUUUCCAACCUUGGCAUUUCUGGAUUUCCACUAAAUUAAGCCACUUUCCUUGCUCAUUAGCAUCUUGUAGAGCUGUGUGGCUAUUUGAGCGCUUGAAUGUGGCUAGUCCAAAUUGAGAUGUGCUAUAUGAGAUAAACACC
rnacentral:lncRNA from 1 species